UCUGUCGCCACAGCAGCGGACACGUUUAAUGGCAGGCGCCUCUACAGUUACAAAACAUGCCUGAGGUCAGUUCGCCCCCUUAGGGGGCACUCCCCGAGCUAAACACAGAUGACAGCGACCCAGGGUGCUGGAGGCCCGGGGUCACCUGAGGACUGCAGAAGUCCCGCGCUCCGCUAACUGUGUGGACACGCGGCUGCCAGGGGCACAGGCCAACCAGGCAGAGCUGCUGGUGCGACACAUCCUGGGGCUGGGCUGGUCGGGGAGAAGCUCUCCGGCUGACGCUGCCUGGGCCUGCCCCUGCAGGGCCCGGGAACCGAGCCCAGGCCUCUGUUUCUCUGAGAGGCUGGAGCAGAGCCCUUGGUGGCCCUGGAAAGCGGCUGCAAGGUGGCCUUAGUCAGGGGAGGCACGCGGGCGU
rnacentral:lncRNA from 1 species